rfam:Myotis brandtii contig172124, whole genome shotgun sequence.
AGGCUUGAAGAGAGAAGCAGGGUCUGAUCCAUAGCCUCUGUGGCAGCUGUUGAUCAGCACUUUCCUCUCUCUUUAGUUCCG